GGAUGAGCUAAUAUCACACCACUCCCCGACCUCAACGGGCUCGGACCUCAAGGCGGCUGCUAACGAGGGAAUACCUCUACUGGCGCAAGCCUAAGGCAGCUGUCGGUCCUUGCUCUUGAGAAAAGGCUUGGAAGGCUCCCGGCGGCGGCGUGGCCGUGGCGCUCCUCGGCAACUCGACGGCGCUCAUGUACUCAAUCACGCGAUAGUAUAUCAGCAGCUGAUAAAAAAAAGAAAGAAGCUGUGUUUGGAAAUGCGGGAGACAAUAAAGCAAAAGUAUCUCGGUAUAUUAGACCAAUACGCCGUGUCAGGGUAUGUGAGAAAAAGUACAGAAUACUCAAAAGGAAUUGUACUGUGCGUGACGGAGAAGCUCGAGAAGUGAGCUGGUCGUUCAAAUGCAGUACUUUUUCGUUUUUUUCAUUCUUUACUCGAUGCUUAACCUGACGCGGUCUUUUGGGAGAACACACACUGUUUCAAUUUCAUUUCUCCCUCUUCUCCUCUGGCACUACUCGGCCCGUUUGUGUGACUCAGUGCCUGGGUACCGGUGAGCGCCUUGUGCGUAGGCCAGCCCGGCGAGCGCGAGUGCGGUGGGGCGACUGGGUUGCCUACCUCCCAGGCGCUCUCCACGAGCAAGCUGCUAGCUAAUUACUCCGUUUUGAGCAGCCCGCCCUUCGCGGCUUCUGCUAUGACCAAGAAAUAAAGUUGGAUCGACUUGA